GAUGAUAUUAUUCUGUAUAUUUUUUGAUUUUUUUUGUAUUUCUUUUGCUUUGAUUCUGGAAAAAAAAAUUGUUGUUGUUGGUGCGGCGCUGACCAUUUUUUCUUGGGAACAGUGCAAUAAAUGCACUAUUUAAAGGUGUCAGAAAUUAGGGUUAGCUGAUGAAUUUUUUUUACCCCAAUUGGACAAAAUUGCCCCUAUUGGGCCUGGACCAGGACGAAAACAAAUGGACCUCAAAAAGAAUUUGCAAAAGAAAUAC
rnacentral:lncRNA from 1 species